CAGCGAUGAUGCCUUCUACAGGUACAAGAUGCCUCGAAUGAUCACCAAAAUAGAAGGUAGAGGGAAUGGCAUCAAGACCAAUGUUGUCAAUAUGGUAGAUAUUGCCAAGGCAUUAGCUAGACCUGCCUCCUAUACCACCAAGUUUUUCGGAUGUGAGCUUGGUGCCCAGUCCAAGUUUGAUGAGAAGACUGGUAUGUCACUAGUGAAUGGGGCUCAUGAUACUUCAAAGCUUGCGGCAUUACUGGAGAUCUUCAUCAAGAAGUAUGUGCAAUGUUAUGGAUGUGGAAAUCCUGAGACUGAGGUUAUUAUUACCAAGUCCCAGAUGAUUAUCCUCAAAUGUGCUGCGUGUGGGUAUCUAUCAGAUGUGGACAUGAGGGACAAGUUGACGACUUUUAUCCUUAAGAACCCGCCGGAGCAAAAGAAGGGAUCCAAGGAUAAGAAGGCAAUGAGGCGUGCUGAGAAAGAGAGGCUCAAGGAAGGUGAAGCUGCUGAUGAA
rnacentral:misc_RNA from 1 species